GGGAGGAGGGAGAGGAAGGGAGGGAGGGGAGGAGGGAGAGGAAGGGAGGGAGGAGGAGGGAGAGGAAGGUAGGGAGGAGGAGGGAGAGGAAGGGAGGAGGUGAGCUAAACUGACCAAGACACACCUCCAACAACAACACAAAACCUCUCAUAAUUCUGCCCAAAAACAAUGAUUCCUCUCAAGCAGUGGGGCUGUUUAGGUGAUCGCUGGCAGGAGGUAGUUCAGGGUAGUUAAUAGAUUCUGUGGUAUAUACAGUGUCCUCUGUAAUUACUGGGACAGUGAAGGGUUGGUAGGUUUAGUGUGCGGUAGGUAGGAGGUAGUUCAGGGUUGUUAAUAGAUUCUGUGGUAUAUACAGUGUCCUCUGUAAUUACUGGGACAGUGAAGGGUUGGUAGGAUUAGUGUGCGGUAGGUAGGAGGUAGUUCAGGGUUGUUAAUAGAUUCUGUGGUAUAUACAGUGUCCUCUGUAAUUACUGGGACAGUGAAGGGUUGGUAGGAUUAGUGUGCGGUAGGUAGGAGGUAGUUUAGGGUAGUUAAUAGAUUCUGUGGUAUAUACAGUGUCCUCUGUAAUUACUGGGACAGUGAAGGGUUGGUAGGAUUAGUGUGCGGUAGGUAGGAGGUAGUUUAGGGUAGUUAAUAGAUUCUGUGGUAUAUACAGUGUCCUCUGUAAUUAUUGGGACAGUGAAGCAUCUUUACUUAUUUUGGCUCUAUAGUCAAAAAGUUUGGAUUUGAAAUCUAAACAAUGACUAUGAAGUCAAAGUGCAGACUGUCAGUUUUCAUUUGAGGGUAUUUUCAUUCAUAUCAGGUGAACCGGUUAGAAAUUACAGCACUUUAUGUACAUAGUCCCCCCUCCACCUAAUAUUAGGGGCGCAUAAGUAUUGGGACAAAUGAAUAUCUAUGUGCAUUAAAGUAAUACAAAGUAUUUGGUUCCAUAUUCAUAGCAGUGACUACAUCGUGACUCUACAGAGUCAUGCUAACAUAACAUGCUAACCUCUCACCAUUACAAUAACAGGGGAGGUUAGCAUUUUAUAUCAUACCUCCAAGACAUGCUAACCUCUCACCAUUACAAUAACAGGGGAGGUUAGCAUUUUAUAUCAUACCUCCAAGACAUGCUAACCUCUCACCAUUACAAUAACAGGGGAGGUUAGCAUUUUAUAUCAUACCUCCAAGACAUGCUAACCUCUCACCAUUACAAUAACAGGGGAGGUUAGCAUUUUAUAUCAUACCUCCAAGACAUGCUAACCUCUCACCAUUACAAUAACAGGGGAGGUUAGCAUUUUAUAUCAUACCUCCAAGACAUGCUAACCUCUCACCAUUACAAUAACAGGGGAGGUUAGCAUUUUAUACCAUACCUCCAAGACAUGCUAACCUCUCACCAUUACAAUAACAGGGGAGAUUAGCAUUUUAUAUCAUACCUCCAAGACAUGCUAACCUCUCACCAUUACAAUAACAGGGGAGGUUAGCAUCUUAUAUCAUACCUCCAAGACAUGCUAACCUCUCACCAUUGCAAUAACAGGGGAGGUUAGCAUUUUAUAUCAUACCCCCAAGACAUGCUAACCUCUCACCAUUACAAUAACAGGGGAGGUUAGCAUUUUAUAUCAUACCCCCAAGACAUGCUAACCUCUCACCAUUACAAUAACAGGGGAGGUUAGCAUUUUAUAUCAUACCUCCAAGACAUGCUAACCUCUCACCAUUACAAUAACAGGGGAGGUUAGCAUUUUAUAUCAUACCUCCAAGACAUGCUAACCUCUCACCAUUACAAUAACAGGGGAGGUUAGCAUUUUAUAUCAUACCUCCAAGACAUGCUAACCUCUCACCAUUACAAUAACAGGGGAGGUUAGCAUUUUAUAUCAUACCUCCAAGACAUGCUAACCUCUCACCAUUACAAUAACAGGGGAGGUUAGCAUUUUAUAUCAUACCCCCAAGACAUGCUAACCUCUCACCAUUACAAUAACAGGGGAGGUUAGCAUUUUAUAUCAUACCUCCAAGACAUGCUAACCUCUCACCAUUACAAUAACAGGGGAGGUUAGCAUUUUAUAUCAUACCCCCAAGACAUGCUAACCUCUCACCAUUACAAUAACAGGGGAGGUUAGCAUUUUUGGGUUGAAUGAUAUUUGGGUUGAAUGAUUAAUUCAGGAUUAUCUGUAAUCGUGGUAGCAUCCACAUUAAUGUAGAAGAGUUUAGAAACAUAUUAUAUUCUAAUUUACAAGGUAGGGGUAGUUAGGGGGUAAGUAGGGGUAGUUAGGGUUAGGUAGAGCUAGUUAGGGUCAGGUAAAGGUAGUUAGAAGGUAGUUAGAGGCUGGGUAGGGUUAGGUAGGGGUAGUUAGAGGCUGGGUAGGGUUAGGUAGGGGUAGUUAGAGGCUGGGUAGGGCUGGGUAAGGUUAGGAAGGGGUAGUUAAAAGGUACUUAGAGGGUAGUUAGGGGGGUAGAUAGG